rnacentral:rRNA from 1 species
GUCCACGCCCUAAACGAUGAUUACUGGACAUUUGCGAUAUACAGUGAGUGUCUGAGCGAAAGCAUUAAGUAAUCCACCUGGGAAGUACGUCCGCAAGGAUGAAACUCAAAGGAAUUGACGGGGGUCCGCACAAGCGGUGGAGUAUGUGGUUUAAUUCGAUGAUACGCGAGGAACCUUACCUGGGCUAGAAUGCGCGUGACCGGUUCUGAAAGGACUCUUCUAGCAAUAGACACAAAGCAAGGUGCUGCAUGGCUGUCGU